CUAAUGACCGAAAUCUUUCAUUUUCCUUCUGAAUGUUUGGAUGUGAGCACUAAUUUAUGAUUUAUCCACUUAUCUUGUUUUGUAUUUGCUAAUGAUGGAUUUGGAAUCCCCUUCCACUAUUACUUCUGUUAAACCCAACUCAAUUCCCGUGAGCACGACUUCGAGAUAGGCGAGGUCUUCUACAUCAAAGGCCGUGUCAACCGCAGUGUGCAGACGAGAUUUAGAGACCAGAACUUCUCCUUUCAUGUUUCGUGCCGCUAUUCCCGAAGCUGACUUAAAACCUUGGUAGUUGAACAAGGCAUCAAAACUGAUUUUAAUGUUCCGUCAUUUAGGUGUUUUCUAGUUCUCCUUCUCACCAUCAAAGGUUCCUAUUUCUGUCAAACCAGAUUGACCACAAACCAAGCGUCAUUUGGAUUCCGUACUUUUUCCAAAUACCUAGGUAAGCCAUUCAAAAUAGUCUGGAUGUUGUAUUGUAAUUACCCAUUCAAAAUUUAAAAUUUGCCAUAUUUCUAC